rnacentral:rRNA from 1 species
GAUGAACGCUGGCGGCGUGCUUAACACAUGCAAGUCGAACGGAAAGGCUCCCGCUUGCAGGGGUACUCGAGUGGCGAACGGGUGAGUAACACGUGGGUGAUCUGCCCUGCACUUCGGGAUAAGCCUGGGAAACUGGGUCUAAUACCGGAUAGGACGAUGGUUUGGAUGCCAUUGUGGAAAGUUUUUUCGGUGUGGGAUGAGCUCGCGGCCUAUCAGCUUGUUGGUGGGGUAAUGGCCUACCAAGGCGUCGACGGGUAGCCGGCCUGAGAGGGUGUACGGCCACAUUGGGACUGAGAUACGGCCCAGACUCAUACGGGAGGCAGCAGUGGGGAAUAUUGCACAAUGGGCGCAAGCCUGAUGCAGCGACGCCGCGUGGGGGAUGACGGCCUUCGGGUUGUAAACGCCUUUCGCUAGGGACGAAGCGCAAGUGACGGUACCUGGAGAAGAAGCACCGGCUAACUACGUG